rnacentral:lncRNA from 1 species
CGUGGCUCCUGGGAAUCUCUGUUCCUUUCCCACCUAAACCUCCCCGAUUUCGAGUAUUAAUUUAUAUUUCAGUUACUCCCCAGACACGCACUCCGCCAAAAGACCACCCGGCACGAUGUCAUCUCUGAGCCUCAUCCUUCUCGGCCUCAUCAUCGCCUUGAGACCCCUGCAAGCCUGGAUCGUACCACAGCCGCCAGCCAAUGUUUGGACCACCCUUGCAAAAUCCCUUAAUCGAGACCAUUUAUGUUUGUCAACCACUUCCGCUGCCAAUCCCUUUCUGUCCUGUCUCGUGGGGAUCCCAUAUCCUAUAGUUAAGUUUCCUUUUACCCUCCCUUUAAACUCCUCCGUCCUCCGCAUAAAAAAUGACACCAAUCCCUUUAUCUCCCAACCCCUAGACCCACCAGAUGCAUGGAGGGCGUGGGUCAGAACCUUCCCGGUUAUGGCAAAAGAGCCCGAGGAACUUGAACUACUCGGCUCUUCCCUGGCCUAUACCUGCUGCCGUUUCCUUGAUUAUAACCCAUAUGUCCAUCCCAAAAGAAUAAUCAAACAAACAAUCACAGAAUACCAGGAUAAAAAUUGGUGCAAAAAGGUAAUCUAUAUCUCAGACUUUUCAACCCCUGACAACAAGCCCCAUUCCCUUCCUAAAGGUGUGUUUUUAAUUUGUGGAAAUCGGGCUUGGGCAGGCAUCCCCCCUCACCUAGUCGGAGGGCCAUGCGCAUUCGGGCAGUUGAGCUUGUUUACUCCCAAUAAAACCCACAUAGCGCAUUGGAAACAGCUAAAUCAGACAGGUCAAUUGACUCGCCAAAAGAGAGAUACUGGACUCACUGAUUGGGACGAAAACUGUAAUGAUGAAGUCACCCAUUGGACAAAAGCAAAGAGCGUUGCUACCAUUGCAUUUUUACCAUGGAUAGGAAUCGCUCAAGCAUUCAAUGAAUUGGCCGGCCUUGAAUGCUGGGUAGCUAAGCAAGCCAACCUUACAUCAACUGCCCUAAGCAACCUCCUAACAGAUGAGGAAGUCACGAGACAGGCAACCCUUCAAAACCGAGCCGCAAUUGAUUUUCUUUUGUUAUUACACAACCAUAAAUGUGAAGAAUUUGCUGGCCUGUGUUGUAUGAAUUUGAGUUCCAGAGCCGAAGAUGUCCGCACCUCCAUCACUAAAAUGCAGGACAUGAUCCAUCAUCUA